rnacentral:lncRNA from 1 species
AAUCCCUUUUGUAGCUGAAAUAUAGGUAGAUUAGGAUUAGGAUAAGAUAGGAUAGGAUAAGGUUAUGGAUAAUGUUUUGGAUAAGGUUUCUUCACUUGAGCUGAUUCUUUGGCUUUUAACUUUCCUUCUUCAAGUAGGAAACCUUGUUUGAGUAGGAAUCUUCCAUCUUCUAGAAAUCCAACUUCAACUAGGAAUCAUUCUUCAACUAGGAAUCCAUUGUUGACUAGGAUUUCAUCUUCAAUUAGGCACUUUCCUACUUCAAUUAGGAAACUUUGCAUCUUCAAUUCUUCAACUUUGCAACACAUUCCUAGCUUCUUCAAUCCUUCAAAUUCGUCCAUUCUUUGUGCUCCACAUGCAUGAGCUCCAUUCUAGCUCAAUUUUGCUCCAAAAUGCUCCAAAUUGCAUCUUUUUGCUUACUUUGUCCUUAAAACCUGAAAACACAUGAAAAUAGCUUAAAAGACUAACUUAACUAAGAAAACACAACAUAAAUGCAUAAGAACUAGCUAACUAAGGCGCAUAAAUAUGCUCCUAUCAAAUUCCCCCACACUUAGCUUUUGCUAGUCCUCAAGCAAAACAAAGAAACAAAACAUAACCUGAACCUUCCAACGUUCACCUCAAGGAUUUCCAAUGAAACAUGACACAUUAAAAAUCACUACUUACAUAGAUUUUAGCCAUCCCUACUCUUAAGCACAUACUUAAGCAUAGUCAUCACUUACUAGCUCACAUUUAAUCGAUUAAAACAGUGUUCUGGAUGAAAUAACAUGCCUUAGAGAAUCCCUCAAUUCCUUACUAGAUAUGCACUCAAUUUUCACACAGAUUUUCUAAAUACACACCCUUCACUAGUUAUAUGUGAGAAGAUUGAUGUAAAUAUGAAAACUAAUGCUCACAUAUGUUAUGACAAGAAAAGCAUUUUCUGGAAUUAUGAAUGUAUGUAUAUGAUCUAAUGAAUGGAAUGCUACUACUUAGAUGCGAGAACCAAGGAUAUCAUAUGCUCAUACCAAUUCCAAACUCCACAUAUUGAAACACAUAACAAUCAAGAUAGAAGCAAAGGGUUUCAAUGGGGCUAAGGUAUUGGCUAACAAAGAAAGGUAAGGAUAAACAAACAUUCUUAAAGAAUAAUAAGCAAAGUAAUGAAAUUGACACUUAGAAUUCACUUUUGCAUGCAAAAAUCAAUUUUUAAACACAAGGGGAAGACUCAUGCAACACUUAGGGUCAAAUUCAACCUUUUGGACCCUUUAUUCAACAACCAACACAUGUGAGGUAAUUCUCACUUCUUUUCAACUCUUUUUCCAUUCUUUUCACAUUUUUUUUUCAUUGUUUUUUCUUUUUCUACGAAUUUUGCUCCUUUUUUUUUUCUUUUUUUCUAACCCGUGCCCUUCUACUUCUUUUGGCACACAAAAUUUCCCUUCCCCCACACUUAUUUUUCUGCACAAUGUUGAUCAAAAGGAAUUCCCUCUAAGUCAUGCUUUAUUAUCCUUUAAGAACAAGGGUAUGGAUAGUCCUAAUCUAGGCUAGGUAUGGAUAGUGUGGCUAACAAAGAAAAUGGCUAACUAAGGCUCAAAAGGGUAAACCUACAAUAUAUAUGCAAUGGGUUAAGGCUUUUUGUCUCUGAUUUUAACUAAACAACUUCAUCUUAUUAGUUAUGCUAAUCAAUUUUAUGCUUUGAAUGAAAUGGGUAUGAGUUCUAAUAUUUGGAUCUAUAAUGAUGAAACGCCUUCUAAGUAGCAACCAAGCAAAGAAUGAUGAGAUCAUGCAACGACUUUAGAAAACAACAAAUUCACAGAUUAUUAACUCUCCAAAGAAUGUUUAGGCUCAAGUCUCACAUGGUUGUAGCGUUAGUUUGAGUUACUUCCUUCAAGCAUGUUACAAAAACUGAUUUUUUUCUUUGUGAUUACAUGUGAAUUCGUCAACAACACCGAUGACCAAGCAUAAACAAAAGAGCAUAUCAAACUUCCAUCCAUGUUUGUAACUUUCUUUAACCGUCAUGCAAUUAAAAACCAAAUCCUCAUCAUUGUGUUGGAAGUGUUGGAAAUAUGCCCUGAAAGUCAAUCUUUGGAAGAAACCUUUCAGGACAAUAAAUGGAUGUAUAGAUGACUCUUAUACAUCAAAUGGCAAAGAUACUAUUUAGGACUAUCUCUAUAAACGAUAUAUGUCUUAAAUGGUGAAUCCAUGGACAAUGGAUCGAUUGAAGAAGUAAUCUAAUAAAGUUAGACUGCAGAGACCUUCUUCACAUAACCAUCAUGUCCAAAAGGUUCCUGGUCAUAGGAUUGUCGGAGG